AUUCUUUUAAUUUCAUUAAGGUUAUCAAUUUUCUUCUUGUGGCCUCUGGAAUGUGACACAGAACUCAAGGGACAGGAAGGAGAUGAGUUGAAGGCUGGGACAGGGGUCCCUGCCAGGGAUGCUGGUGACUCACAUGACGGUGUUGAUGUGUGGAGUCCGGUGCCUGGUUUGGGGAAUGUUCGUGGGAUAUGUUCCAAAGGACUGACGGACCUAUCAGGUACUGGAGGUGAAUGGUCAAGUCUGAUCUCAGGGCUGACAGUGUCAGGCAAGGACAGGAAGUUGACUUUGGACUCAUUGGCUGAGGUUGCUUGGGACCCAGGGGGCAACCUGUGCCAGGACAGAUGGGUCUUACAGGCAUGAGCCACCAUGCCUGACCAUUUUUCAAUAUUAAUUUUUAUGAAAUAUUUUCAAACACAUUUUACUGUACAUUGGAAAAGUCAAUCAUGAUUUGAAAACUGCCUGGCCAACAUGGCAGAACUGUCUCUACUAAAAAUACAGAAAUUAGCCAGGUGUGAUGGCACACACCUGUAAUCCCAGCUGCUUGGGAGGCUGAGGCAGGAGAAUCAUUUGAACCUGGGAGACAGAGGUUUGUGUUUUGGAGCUGUUGAAUUUAUUGAAUUGACAAAAAUUAUGUACAAGAGGGUACAACAUGAUGAGAUUGAAGUAUGUACACAUUACAAAAUGGCUAGAUCAAGCUAAAUAACA
rnacentral:lncRNA from 1 species